GACGAACGCUGGCGGCGUGCCUAAUACAUGCAAGUCGAGCGAGCGGAACCAGCAGAUCUGCUUCGGCAGUGACGCUGGGAAAGCGAGCGACGGAUGGGUGAGUAACACGUGGGGAACCUGCCCCAAAGUCUGGGAUACCACUUGGAAACAGGUGCUAAUACCGGAUAAGAAAGCAGAUCGCAUGAUCAGCUUUUAAAAGGCGGCGUAAGCUGUCGCUAUGGGAUGGCCCCGCGGUGCAUUAGCUAGUUGGUAGAGUAACGGCCUACCAAGGCAAUGAUGCAUAGCCGAGUUGAGAGACUGAUCGGCCACAUUGGGACUGAGACACGGCCCAAACUCCUACGGGAGGCAGCAGUAGGGAAUCUUCCACAAUGGACGCAAGUCUGAUGGAGCAACGCCGCGUGAGUGAAGAAGGUUUUCGGAUCGUAAAGCUCUGUUGUUGGUGAAGAAGGAUAGAGGUAGUAACUGGCCUUUAUUGGACGUAAUCAACCAGAAUUUC
rnacentral:rRNA from 1 species